rnacentral:rRNA from 1 species
GAUGAACGCUGGCGGCGUGCUUAACACAUGCAAGUCGAACGAAGCAUUUAAGACAGAUUACUUCGGUUUGAAGUCUUUUAUGACUGAGUGGCGGACGGGUGAGUAACGCGUGGGUAACCUGCCUCAUACAAGGGGAUAGCAGCUGGAAACGGCUGGUAAUACCGCAUAAGCGCACAGUACCACAUGGUACAGUGUGAAAAACUCCGGUGGUAUGAGAUGGACCCGCGUCUGAUUAGCUUGUUGGCGGGGUAACGGCCCACCAAGGCGACGAUCAGUAGCCGACCUGAGAGGGUGACCGGCCACAUUGGGACUGAGACACGGCCCAGACUCCUACGGGAGGCAGCAGUGGGGAAUAUUGCACAAUGGAGGAAACUCUGAUGCAGCGACGCCGCGUGAGUGAAGAAGUAGUUCGCUAUGUAAAGCUCUAUCAGCAGGGAAGAUAGUGACGGUACCUGACUAAGAAGCUCCGGCUAAAUACGUG